AUUGAACGCUGGCGGUAGGCCUAACACAUGCAAGUCGAACGCGAAAGUCCUUCGGGAUGAGUAGAGUGGCGGACGGGUGAGUAACGCGUAGGAAUCUAUCCUGUAGUGGGGGAUAACGUUUCGAAAGGAACGCUAAUACCGCAUACGCCCCACGCGGGAACGCGGGGGAUCUUCGGACCUCGUGCACUAGGAGGAGCCUGCGUCGGAUUAGGUAGUUGGUGAGUUAAAGGCUCACCAAGGGGACGAUCCGUAGCUGGUCUGAGAGGAUGAUCAGCCACACCGGAACUGAGACACGGUCCGGACGCCUACGGGAGGAAGGAGUGGGGAAUAUUGCGCAAUGGGCGAAAGCCUGACGCAGCCAUACCGCGUGUGUGAGGAAGGCCUUCGGGUUGUAAAGCACUUUCAGUGGGGAGGAAAGGUUGCAGAUUAAUACUCUGUAGCUGUGACGUUACCCACAGAAGAAGCACCGGCUAACUCCGUGCCAGCCGCCGCAGUAAGAC
rnacentral:rRNA from 1 species